UUUGCUAUAUUACGUCUAUGGUUUUGGAAACGAGCUGCUGACUGCAACUACCGACUACUGCCCGUGCUGCUGAUGUCGCUGUCUAGUUGAUAUCGAUCUUGUUAUGUUAUAUUAUGUUACUGCAAGGAACGAUAUCAUAAUAAUCUAAGCCCCCAGUACACAUUGCCCCAGGCGUGGCCACUACAUGCCAUCAACAAGAAAUGGCAAAAUGAGUUUACACCGCGGGCUGGAGGAGGGCUGCCAGAGAUAGAAUGCAGGAUGCAGGAAAACUUUAGAGGACGCUUUUGCCAAAAGUCACAUUGAACUUAGAGAUUUAUCUAAAGAAGAAAACAAAUACCUCAUUUAUUUUAUUUAGCUAGCUUCUGCCCAUGGCUUUCGUCCGCGUGGUGUGUUGAUAAAAAGUAGCUUGUGUUAAUCCAGAGUGUCACCUAUGUAUAUACAUAAAUCGGUCCAGCUAUUUUUGCGUGAAAGAAUAACAAACAUACAUCUUUUACAAUUUUAUCAUUAGUUUAUAUAUUACUAUAUAUUUUAUUUUCUAAUCGUCCCAAACCACAAAGUACAUUAUGUCCCUAACUACUCUAUGGUCUAUUCAAACAGUCCAAAAAAAGCGUUAAAUUAAAAAUUGUAUACUGAUCAUUGUGGUAUAGCCAACGUUAUAAUUGACUUGGACUCAGAUGAUUCGUUCUGUGACAAUGACCGACGUGACGACAGAGCAUCUGAUACCCAGUGCUUUGCGAAAGGUGCUAAACCAUCAUUAAGACUAACUGCAAUUGAAAACACAAAUAAAAAGAAAAAUGCAAAACAGAAAUCGCCUACCUCCAUAAAGGCAAAAGAGACAUCUUCAUUACCUGGUAAUAGCAAAAAGUUUGGAGGCUGUCCCAUAUGUUGGGAUGAAUUAGGUAAAAACCCUUUGGCAUCUACUAAAUGUGGACAUGUGUACUGUAUGAAAUGUAUAGAGGGAUAUCUUAAAGUUCAAAAGAAAUGUCCCACUUGUCGAAAGAGUUUAAAGGGAUCUUCUCCAUACCAUGCACUUUAUCUAUAAAAAGUUUUUUAUAAAAACUGACCUCACGCACAGUCAAAAUGUGCAACCUACCAAUGCUUUACUUUCAAAAAAUCUUCUUGCAUGCGAUGUGUUCACUUCAGUAUUUUUUUCAUAUUCCACAGAACAUUUGCCAAAACUUUCAUGAAAUGCAAUCAUUAGAAUUAGUAAGUUAUUUAUAAUAGUUUUAAUUUGUUACAAUGUUUUUUUUAUAUUUAUUUGCAACAAUAUACAGUGGUGAACAACCAAUUAGAUACACUGUGGUCGAACUCGGGACCUCAAAACAAAUAAUGGUGUUUCUAAUUUCUUGUCCACUACAGGAUGCAUAUAUAUAUAUUUAAUAAUUUAAGGUAUAUAUUUAAUUUAUUAUAAGGAAUUAUUAAUAUAGAUUCUUUUUAUUAAUAUAAAGUUGCACAUUUGCCGUACCCCAUCAAAUCAUUCUUUCACUCUAAGGUUGGCUGGAAGAGAACCCAACACUGGGUUAAGCUCGCCAUUGUACAUUAUCUCUCUGUAUUCAGUGUGUCUCUCUGUAUUUAUGUGUGCAAUAAAGAAAGAAUAAUAAUAAUAAUGCAUAGUUAGGAAAAGAUAAUUAUUCAUGAAUGUAUAUAGUAAGUUAUGUCCCGACAUUGUUUUUGUCAUUUAUUUAUUUAGAACAUAUAAUUUACAUUUUUAAAUAUUAAAUAUAAAAAUAAAAAACAUUUAAAAAUUUAAAAAAUAGGUUGCCACCGAUAUCGGGCACAGGGUCCAAGGUACCGGUGG